UGGGGAAUAUUGCACAAUGGGCGAAAGCCUGAUGCAGCAACGCCGCGUGAGUGAUGAAGGCCUUCGGGUUGUAAAGCUCUGUCUUCUGGGACGAUAAUGACGGUACCAGAGGAGGAAGCCACGGCUAACUACGUGCCAGCAGCCGCGGUAAUACGUAGGUGGCAAGCGUUGUCCGGAUUUACUGGGCGUAAAGGAUGCGUAGGCGGAUACUUAAGUCAGAUGUGAAAAUCCCGGGCUUAACUUGGGAACUGCAUUUGAAACUGGGUAUCUAGAGUGCGGGAGAGGAAAGUGGAAUUCCUAGUGUAGCGGUGAAAUGCGUAGAGAUUAGGAAGAACACCAGUGACGAAGGCGACUUUCUGGACCGUAACUGACGCUGAGGCAUGAAAGCGUGGGGAGCAAACA
rnacentral:rRNA from 1 species